GUGUCUUUCUGGGGACAAGCUGAGUCCCUCUGGCUCUUGCCCUCCCCAGACCCAGUGCCCUCCCCAAGCCAAGUCAGUGAUUUAGGGAACCAUCUCUGGGGAAGGUGAAGGCUUUACACACACACACACACACACACACACACACACAGCUUUACACACACACUACUACGGUGACUGGCUCAGCGGGAGGAAGUGACUGGGCCUUUGGGGGGGACUGGAGGCUCCUGGGAGACCAAGGAGUAGGGAAGGUGAUGUCUAUAGGAGCCCAGGGCCUUCUGGGAUGAGGGCACCCCACCCCCGAUUUCCUGACCAUGAUGUUCUAGCACCCUAUCUAACCCUUCCUCCAGUGGGACACCACCACCCAAGUUCUUCCCUGGGGCCCCCGCGCUGCUUCUCAUCUUGGGGGAGAUUCCGGUUCCUCCUGCGGAAGCCGCCGAGUCUGGCCCUCCCCGCAGACCUUCCUGUUUAUGGUGCUGGGUCUGUGUACCCGGGAGCCUGCCUCACGUGAUCUGAGGCCCCUUCCUGCCUUGUCUUGAUCACCAUGGUGGUGCCCUUGCCCCGGAUGAGGAAACUGAGGCCAGAGAGGGGAAGUGCUUGUCGGUGUCACCCCAAAGGCCUAGGGGCGCAGAGCCCAGGGGAACCCAGCCCCCUCCUCCCGGCUGGGACCCUUUUUUCUUUGCUAAGACCCAGGAUCCCAGAGCUGCCUCAUCACUCGGCUUACAGGAGAGGGUCCUUGGGCCCCCAGCCUGGGUGGGCCUGGCAGGACCAGGUCAGCAAAGGAGAGGAAGCAGCCACCCACUCUGUGUCUAGAGCUCAAUCCCACAUGCCAGCUAGGCGGGCAGCGGGAGGAGCUGUCAGCGGCUCAGUACCCCAGGGGCUGCCCAUCAGAUGCCUCGCUCCCUUUCACCCCCACGACAGCCACGAGUGGGAGGGAUUGAGGUGGGAGAUGAAUUCACUUAGUUGCGCAACCCCCACCUCAGCACAAAGGGGCAGAGUCGAGAAAACUUGUCCUUUAUGCAGAGUUGAGAACAGGAAGGAUGCUCGCAUUGAGGAAGAGGAAGGGAGACAGGGAGACACAUUCUUACCGCACGGCACCUCAUCUGGGGCCCCUUUGUCUCUAUCCUUUGGCUCAUCUCUCUCUGCGACCUUGGCCGAGGCCCUCCCCUUUUCAGCCCUCAGUUUCCCCAUCUGCAUAGGACAGGAGGGUCUCGGAGCCUCUCUUAGCUCUGCCAUCAGGAGCGGGCCUGAGCUGGUUAACUCCAGGGCUGGGCGCCCACCCCAGCUGGUUAAGGGCAGCCGGGUGGCAGGUGGGCCUUUGUUGCGGCAGGCUGGGGCUCGUGUGGCCUUUGUCCCAGGCAGAGGGGGCGGGCUGGGGGAGGCCUGUUUUGUGAUCAGUGGGGAGAACUUUCCCUUCCCCGCAGGCCCCUCGAGUGCAGUGGGUUGGGGGUGGGGCCACAGUGCCUGCCUCACAUCUUCCAGCAGAUGGCCCCCAGCCCCCCUCCCCUGACCCCAGCGGUCUGCCUGGCCUUUCGUUUUCCUGUGAGGUUUUAACCAUUGUCAGAGUCUCCUCAAACAAAUUAAAUGCAACCCUUGGCUCAGAGGAAACUCUGCCCACUGCUCUGUGCCAAUCUCAGGGUUCCUGGGGACCGGAACACCAGUCUCACGCGCCCCGCCCAGCCCCCAGCCCUGCUGCAGGAACCCCCCUACUUCCCCACUGAUUCGGGCUCAUUCAUCCAUCAGCAAAUAUGCCCUGGCCCAUUUGGCCCAUGCUCCAAACUCCAGACAGUUCCAACGUCUGAUGGCUGUUUGGUGGCAAAAGUGCCAGGGAGCAGGGCAAGAAAGGCCUGAUUUCUUUCCUUGGCUCUCCAGGAGGCUGUGUUGAAAACAGACUUGGGGUGAGGGCAGGACAGAGUUGGGAGACCAGGGCAAAGGUGACUGCAGCAAAGCUGGCAGGAGAGGACCAUGGAAGGGCUGGGCCACCGCUGGCCAUGCUGGCUGCUGUGGAAAGCUGACAUCCUGGGUGAGGAAGAGAGGAGGCGUGGUGACCCCAAGGUGCUGGGACCCAGCAAGAUGGGGAGCACCCAGAGGGGCACAGGUCUGGGGGGAGCUGGGCCACUGAAUCUGAGGCACCCAGGGAAAAACUGUGGUUGCCUUGGGGUUUGAUGUCUUCUUGAUAGGGCUGAAUGCCGAGAGGCAGGAUAGUGUUGCUGUGGCAGUGGAUGGGCAAAGGAGAGGGCCAGUGUCGGGCCACCAGCACUUUCUGCAGGGAUAUCCGGGGACCUCCAGUGUUACCUAAAUCUGAAGGCGGGAGACAUAUCCCAGGGAGGGGCUGCUGAGGAGGUGGGUGCUGCCCAGGCCUCUCGGAGGUGAGCUGGGUCCCGGGACAGGGAGAUAAAGCAGACCAGGCCAGUGCCCUUCAGGAUGUCACCGUCUGGUGGGAGAGUCCAAAGGACAGAUUUCUGUAACUGAGGGGCUGCUGUUACUUACCAUCAGGAGGAACAGGUGGCUGAGGGACACAUGGGAGGGGUGUCAGGGAAGGCUUCCUGGAGGAAGCGGCGACUGAACUAGGACUUAGGGGACAAGAAAUGGGCACAGCAUGCGCAAAGGCUCAGAGGAGCGUGCACGUGUGUGGCACAUUUGGGGAACUGAAAAACCUUUGGGUUUAAGAUAGGGGUGGGGCAGGAAGUGGCGAGAUAGGCUGCGUCAGGCCCAGGGGCUGGGUGGACCCUCAUGGCCACACUUAGGAGGUGGCCUUUAUCCCAAGGGCAGUAGGGAGCCACAGAAGGCGCUAGGCAGGGUGGUGAAUAUGGGUAUUAUCUGGUUCUGGUGCCGACAAGAGAACAGAUCUGAAGAUCUUGCACGAAUCCAUUGAAAGAUAACGUUUGUCUUCACUGACAGCCCAGAUGAA